rnacentral:rRNA from 1 species
CCUACGGGAGGCAGCAGUAGGGAAUCUUCCACAAUGGGCGCAAGCCUGAUGGAGCAACACCGCGUGAGUGAAGAAGGGUUUCGGCUCGUAAAGCUCUGUUGUUGGAGAAGAACGUGCGUGAGAGUAACUGUUCACGCAGUGACGGUAUCCAACCAGAAAGUCACGGCUAACUACGUGCCAGCAGCCGCGGUAAUACGUAGGUGGCAAUCGUUAUCCGGAUGUAUUGGGCGUAAAGCGAGCGCAGGCGGUCGCUUAGGUCUGAUGUGAAAGCCGUCGGCUUAACCGAGGAAGUGCAUCGGAUACUGUGCGACUUGAGAGUAGAUGCGGAUAGUGGAACUCAAUGUGUAGCGGUGGAAUGCUUAGAUAUAUGGCAGAACACCAGUUGCGAAGGCGGCUGUCUGGUCUGCAACUGACGCUGAGGCUCGAAAGCAUGGGUAGCGAACAGGAUUAGAUACCCUGGUAGUC